AAUAGAUACCCUGGUAGUCCACGCCGUAAACGAUGGAUACUAGCUGUUGGGGGCGACCUCAGUGGCUAAGCGAAAGUGAUAAGUAUCCCACCUGGGGAGUACGUUCGCAAGAAUGAAACUCAAAGGAAUUGACGGGGGCCCGCACAAGCGGUGGAGCAUGUGGUUUAAUUCGAUGAUACGCGAGGAACCUUACCAAGGCUUAAAUGCAGACUGACCGUUUUGGAAACAGAACUUUCGCAAGACAGUCUACAAGGUGCUGCAUGGUUGUCGUCAGCUCGUGCCGUGAGGUGUCAGGUUAAGUCCUAUAACGAGCGCAACCCCUGUUGUUAGUUGCCAGCGAGUAGUGUCGGGAACUCUAACAAGACUGCCAGUGCAAACUGUGAGGAAGGUGGGGAUGACGUCAAAUCAUCACGGCCCUUACGCCUUGGGCUACACACGUGCUACAAUGGCCGGUACAGAGAGCAGCCACCUCGCGGAGGGGGAGCGAAUCUACAAAGCCGGUCACAGUUCGGAUCGGAGUCUGCAACGUCG
rnacentral:rRNA from 1 species